GCUCCUUCUGCCCCUUCCAGCUCAUUUCUGACCCUUUCUGCUCCUUCUACUUUACCUUUGUGCUGCUUUACCUUCCAGCUCCUUGCUGACCCUUCCUGUUCAUUUCUGUUCCUUGUGCUCCUUCUCCUACUUUACCUUUUGUGCUCCUUGCUGUCCCUUCCAGCUCCUUGCUGCCCCUUUCUGCUCCUUGAUGUCCCUUCCUUCUCAUUUCUGUUCCUUCUCCUUUUCUUACUUUACCUUCCUGCUCCUUGCUGACUCUUCAUGUAGGCUGUCUCCCCCAUCCCUCACUUCCAUAGGCGUGCGCACGGGGUGUGUCGGGUGUGCAUGGGCACACCCUAAUCCCCUGCGGCACGCUAAUGGAUUGAGACCGGCAGUGGAGAUCUCUGGAUCUCCCCGGUCGGCUCAUGCAGAGCCGAAGCUAUCCGAGUGGCGGCUCUGGUCUA